UUUCACCCUCAGAGGGAACCGAGACUCGGAAAGUAAUAGAGAAAUUGGCCCACUUUGUGGCAGAAGAAGGCCCCGCGAUAGAAAAAAGUAGCUAUAGAGGACUACAAGGAAAACCCGGCAUUUGCAUUUUUGCAGGAUAAGAAUAGCAGAGAAUUUCUCUACUACAGAAAGAAGGUGGCUGAGAUAAGAAAGGAAGCACAGAAGUCGCAGGCAGCCUCUCAAAAAGUUUCACUCCCAGAGGAUGAAGAGGUCAAGAACCUUGCAGGGAAGUUGGCCAGGUUCGUAGUAGACUGGCAUCCGGAGGUGGAAACCAUCGCCCUCCAGAACAACUGUGAGAACCAGGCAUUCAGCUUUCUGUACGAGACUAACAGCCAAGGAUACAAGUACUACCGAUAGAAGCGGGAGGAGUUCCGGAAAGCCAAGGCCGGCUCCACAGGCAGCCUCAGGGCACCCGACCCCGGCCUGAAGCCCAAGUCCCCUCCUGAGGCCCUGUUAGGGUCUUGCCUCCGGCCACCACUUGUCCCAUCUCGUCCCCGCCUGCGCCUCCCGCCCCCCGUUCUCCGUCAUCCCUGCUCCAGCCGCUCCAGGGAAGCCAGCCUCGGCAGCCACCGUGAAGAGGAAGCGGAAGAGCCGGUGGAGGCCAGAAGAGAAUAAGGCAGAACUCCCACCUGCUGAGCUGGUGCAGAGGGACGUGGACGCCUCUCCCUCGCCUCUGUCAGUUCAGGACCGCAAGGGGUUCGGCUAUAAGAAGGGGAAGCCCGUGGGUCUAGUGGGCGUCACGGAGCUGUCGGACGCCCAGAAGCAGCAGCCGAAGGAGCAGCAGGAGAUGCAGCAGAUAUACGACAUGAUCAUGCAGCACAAGCGGGCCAUGCAGGACAUGCAGCACCAGCACGGCUACCACAGCGACGAGGAGGUGGACAGCGAGCUGGGCACCUGGAAGCACCAGCUGCGGCGCAUGGAGAUGGACAAGACCAGGAAAUGGGCCAAGCAGCUGACAAAGGUGGGCUAGGGCAAGCAUUUCAUGGGAGACUUCCUGCCUCCCGACGAGCUGGAGAAGUUCUGGAAAUCCUCAAGGCCCUGAAGGAGAGCCGUGAGCCUGACUACUCGGAGUACAAGGAGUUCAGGCUGACUGUGGAGAACACUGGCUAUCAGAUGCUGAUGAAGAUGGGCUGGAAGGAAGGCGAGGGGCUGGGCUCGGAGGGCCAGGGCAUCAAGAACCCAGUCAACAAGGCCACCACCACAGUGGAAGGUGCCGGCUUCAGCAUUGACCGGCUGGCCGAGUUCUCCAAGGAGGACGACGAGUACGAGGCCUUCCGCAAGAAGAUGAUGCUGGCCUACCGCUUCCGGCCCAACCCCCUGAACAAUCCCAGACGGCCUUACUACUGA
rnacentral:lncRNA from 1 species